rnacentral:rRNA from 1 species
ACAUGCAAGUCGAACGUGAAGCUGGAGCUUGCUCCAGUGGAAAGUGGCAGACGGGUGAGUAACGCGUGGGAAUUUACCCAGUGGUUCGGAAUAACUUCGGGAAACGGGAGCUAAUACCGGAUACGCCCCCCUUUAGAGAUAUUGGGGGGGAAAGAUUUAUCGCCAUUGGAUGAGCCCGCGUCGGAUUAGCUUGUUGGUGAGGUAAAAGCUCACCAAGGCGACGAUCCGUAGCUGGUCUGAGAGGAUGAUCAGCCACACUGGGACUGAGACACGGCCCAGACUCCUACGGGAGGCAGCAGUGGGGAAUAUUGCACAAUGGGCGCAAGCCUGAUGCAGCCAUGCCGCGUGAGUGAUGAAGGCCUUAGGGUUGUAAAACUCUUUCGCCAGGGAAGAUAAUGACGGUACCUGGUAAAGAAGCCCCGGCCAACUCCGUGCCAGCAGCCGCGGUAAUACGGAGGGGGCUAGCGUUGUUCGGAAUUACUGGGCGUAAAGCGCGCGUAGGCGGGCUGGUCAGUUGGGGGUGAAAUCCCGGGGCUUAACCUCGGAACUGCCCUCAAUACUGCCAGUCUUGAGUUCGAGAGAGGUGAGUGGAAUUCCUAGUGUAGAGGUGAA